rnacentral:tRNA from 1 species
GCCUUCGUGGUGUAAUGGCCAACACAUUUGACACGCAUUUGAGAAGUCCGAGGUUCGAGUCCCGGUGAGGGCA